rnacentral:rRNA from 1 species
CCUACGGGUGGCUGCAGUGGGGAAUAUUGCACAAUGGGCGCAAGCCUGAUGCAGCCAUGCCGCGUGUGUGAAGAAGGCCUUCGGGUUGUAAAGCACUUUCAGCGGGGAGGAAGGCGGUGAGGUUAAUAACCUCAUCGAUUGACGUUACCCGCAGAAGAAGCACCGGCUAACUCCGUGCCAGCAGGCGCGGUAAUACGGAGGGUGCAAGCGUUAAUCGGAAUUACUGGGCGUAAAGCGCACGCAGGCGGUCUGUCAAGUCGGAUGUGAAAUCCCCGGGCUCAACCUGGGAACUGCAUUCGAAACUGGCAGGCUAGAGUCUUGUAGAGGGGGGUAGAAUUCCAGGUGUAGCGGUGAAAUGCGUAGAGAUCUGGAGGAAUACCGGUGGCGAAGGCGGCCCCCUGGACAAAGACUGACGCUCAGGUGCGAAAGCGUGGGGAGCAAACAGGAUUAGAUACCCUUGUAGUC